rnacentral:tRNA from 1 species
GUGAUGGUAGCUCAGCGUGGUUAGAGCAGUCCGACGCGAGUCGGACAGGGCACGGGUUCGACUCCCGUCCGUCACC